AGUCUAUUCAGAGGAACCUGUUCUAUAAUUGAUAGUCCACGAUUUUAGUUACUUAUUUUUUUGUUUACAUAUCGUCGUAGAUCGAAUAUUUUUAUAGAAUAAAUUAAUAUUCAGAAUGUUUUAAGAAAGGAAUUCAGAUCAAGGUGUAGUUUAUGGGUAAGAAGAAAUGGGUUACAAUAAAUUUAUUUAUACGAAUUAAUUUUUUUAUUAAAAUUAUUAAGGUGGAUUUGAAAGUAAUUUUAAAAAUAUAUUUAAAAUGAUUUUAGCUCUAAAAUAUGUACAUAUCGCCCGUCGCUUUCACUCUAAGGUGAAAUAAGUCGUAACAAAGUAGGUGUACCGGAAGGUGUCCCUGGAAAUCU
rnacentral:rRNA from 1 species